rnacentral:lncRNA from 1 species
UCAAAUGGGUUUGGGACAUGCUCAUUAGUGUACGCUUCGACUAGUGUUUAAUAACCUAUUAAAAAUAAGAAGUUUUUUUCAAAGGUGGUUGUUUCAAGUACGCUUUUUUUAGUGUAUCUUUUUUUUCCCAAUAGAUUAUACCUUAGGUUUAUUGUACCAAGGUUUCAGAACAAAAGGGUAUAAGACCCUUAUCUGAAUACUUCCCCAGAACCAUCUGAUUGGCAAUGCGUUGCUACCUGUU